AAGCAUGUUGAAGGCUCCGGCCGUUGUUGAUCCAUUUCUGUGGAGUAAACAAAAGCAAACAUGCGAGAGAAACAUCUAAGAGUUAACAGGGCCACCAGUCUCUCAAGGACAGGCUGAGUCGGUAGUAUAAUACUCACACAUUU